UCACCCUCAGAAGACUUCCCCAGACUGGAUUAGGGAUGCUGGUGUGACCUCGCCUGAUAGCCUCCAAAGAAGGAACUGGGUAGAAUGAAUGGACAGUGCACCUCUCUAUCUGAAGCCUAGCAAGGGAGGACAUACCACUAAAC